UCGGGAAUCUUGGACAAUGGGCGCAAGCCUGAUCUAGCCAUGCCGCGUGAGUGACGAAGGCCUUAGGGUUGUAAAGCUCUUUUGGCGGGGACGAUAAUGACGGUACCCGCAGAAUAAGCCCCGGCUAACUUCGUGCCAGCAGCCGCGGUAAUACGAAGGGGGCUAGCGUUGUUCGGAAUUACUGGGCGUAAAGCGCACGUAGGCGGAUUUGUCAGUCAGGGGUGAAAUCCCGAGGCUCAACCUCGGAACUGCCUCCGAUACAGCAAGUCUCGAGUCCGGAAGAGGUGAGUGGAAUUCCUAGUGUAGAGGUGAAAUUCGUAGAUAUUAGGAAGAACACCAGUGGCGAAGGCGGCUCACUGGUCCGGUACUGACGCUGUAGCGCGAAAGCGUGGGGAUCAAACAGGAUUAGAUACCCUUGUAGUCCCUGAGCGGGCUGGCAAGGCGCAU
rnacentral:rRNA from 1 species